rnacentral:rRNA from 1 species
GCGGACUUCGGUCCGCAAGUACAGUGGCAUACGGGUGAGUAACACGUGGGUAACCUGCCCGGAGGUGGGGGACAACUCUUCGAAAGGAGAGCUAAUACCGCAUAACAUCCUGAGCACUUCGGUGCAUGGGAUCAAAGCUUGCCUCUGUUUCAUGCAAGCGCCACCGGAGGGACCCGCGCCCCAUUAGCUUGAUGGUGAGGUAACGGCUCACCAUGGCUACGAUGGGUAGCCGGCCUGAGAGGGUGAUCGGCCACACUGGAACUGAGACACGGUCCAGACUCCUACGGGAGGCAGCAGUGAGGAAUCUUGCGCAAUGGGCGAAAGCCUGACGCAGCGACGCCGCGUGGAGGAAGAAGGCCUUCGGGUCGUAAACUCCUGUCAAGAGGGACGAAUCCCUAUCGAAUGAAUAAGUCGGUAGGUUGACGGUACCUCUGAAGGAAGCCCCGGCUAACUCCGUGCCAGCAGCCGCGGUAAUACGGAGGGGGCAAGCGUUGUUCGGAAUUAUUGGGCGUAAAGGGCACGUAGGCGGUCAAGUAAGUUGGUGGUGAAAGCCCUCGGCUCAACCGAGGAAUUGCCCCCAAAACUGCUCGACUUGAGUCCCGGAGAGGGUGGCGGA